UACGGGGGGGGCAAGCGUUGUUCGGAAUUACUGGGCGUAAAGGGCGCGUAGGCGGCCUGUUAAGUCGAACGUGAAAUCCCCGGGCUCAACCCGGGAACUGCGUCCGAUACUGGCAGGCUUGAAUCCGGGAGAGGGAUGCGGAAUUCCAGGUGUAGCGGUGAAAUGCGUAGAUAUCAGGAGGAACACCGGUGGCGAAGGCGGGACUCUGGGCCGAUACUGACGCUGAGGAGCGAAAGCGUGGGGAGCGAACAGG
rnacentral:rRNA from 1 species